rnacentral:tRNA from 1 species
GGGGUUGUAGCUCAGUUGGUUAGAGUAUCGGCCUGUCACGCCGGGGGUCGCGGGUUCGAGCCCCGUCAACCUCGCCA